UACGUAGGGGGCUAGCGUUGUCCGGAAUCAUUGGGCGUAAAGCGCGUGUAGGCGGUUCGGUAAGUCCGCUGUGAAAGUCGGGGGCUCAACCCUCGGAUGCCGGUGGAUACUGUCGAGCUUGAGUACGGAAGAGGCGAGUGGAAUUCCUGGUGUAGCGGUGAAAUGCGCAGAUAUCAGGAGGAACACCAAUUGCGAAGGCAGCUCGCUGGGACGUUACUGACGCUGAGACGCGAAAGCGUGGGGAGCAAGCAGG
rnacentral:rRNA from 1 species